rnacentral:sRNA from 1 species
GGAUGCCUUUUGGGCAAGCUGGGCCGGAGCCCACCCUUACUGGACACCCUGGCAUCCAAGGCAUCAAAGGAGAGAAGGUGAGGGAACCCUGCUCUCCUGGCUGCCCUCCUCUGCCUACCUGGGAGCAUUUCUGAUCCUUCCUCUUCUUUCCCCAGGGGGAGCCCUGCUUGUCCUGCAGCUCGGUUGUAGGGGCCCAGCAUCUUGUGUCCUCCACAGGGGCCAGUGGAGAUGUGGGCUCCCCUGGCUUUGGUCUGCCUGGCCUUCCGGGGAGAGCUGGGGUGCCAGGGCUGAAAGGAGAGAAGGGUAACUUCGGGGAGGCAGGGCCAGCUGGCAGUCCAGGGCCACCAGGACCAGUGGGGCCAGCAGGCAUCAAAGGGGUGAAGGGGGAGCCCUGUGAGCCGUGCCCGGCCCUGUCCAACCUUCAGGAUGGGGAUAUCCGUGUGGUGGCCUUGCCUGGCCCAUCUGGAGAGAAGGGGGAACCUGGGCCUCCAGGCUUUGGCUUGCCAGGAAAACAGGGCAAGGCUGGAGAGCGUGGACUGAAGGGGCAGAAGGGUGAUGCUGGGAAUCCCGGAGACCCUGGAACGCCGGGCACCACAGGGCGGCCAGGACUGUCAGGAGAGCCUGGAGUUCGGGGCCCCGCAGGGCCAAAAGGAGAAAAGGGCCAACCCGGCCUACCAGGAGUUCAAGGGCCCCCAGGACUGAAGGGCGUGCAGGGAGAGCCAGGGCCUCCAGGAAGGGGAGUCCAGGGACCCCA